rnacentral:rRNA from 1 species
CCUACGGGUGGCAGCAGUGAGGAAUAUUGGUCAAUGGCCGGAAGGCUGAACCAGCCAAGCCGCGUGAAGGACGAAGGUGCCAAGCAUUGUAAACUUCUUUUGUCAAGGGACAAAAUCAGGCUCGAGAGCCUGACCGAGGGUACUUGAAGAAAAAGCAUCGGCUAACUCCGUGCCAGCAGCCGCGGUAAUACGGAGGAUGCGAGCGUUAACCGGAUUUAUUGGGUUUAAAGGGUGCGUAGGCGGGCUGUUAAGUCAGCGGUAAAAGCCCGGGGCUCAACCCCGGCGAGCCGUUGAAACUGGCUGGCUUGAGUUGUCGAGAGGUAUGCGGAAUGCGCAGUGUAGCGGUGAAAUGCUUAGAUAUUGCGCAGAACUCCGAUUGCGAAGGCAGCAUACCGGCGGCGAUCUGACGCUGAGGCACGAAAGCGUGGGUAUCGAACAGGAUUAGAUACCCCAGUAGUC